rfam:Stegodyphus mimosarum contig66630, whole genome shotgun sequence.
GCCUUCGUGGUGUAGUGGUCAGAACGCUCGACUCGUAACGGAGAGAUCCGUGGUUCGAUUCCCGGCGAAGACU